rnacentral:rRNA from 1 species
UACGUAGGUGGCAAGCGUUGUCCGGAUUUACUGGGCGUAAAGGGCGUGCAGGCGGUUUGUUAAGUCUAGGGUGAAAGCUCCCGGCUCAACUGGGAGAGGUCCUUGGAUACUGGCAGACUUGAGGGAGGCAGAGGAAAGUGGAAUUCCCGGUGUAGUGGUGAUAUGCGCAGAUAUCGGGAGGAACACCAGUGGCGAAGGCGGCUUUCUGGGCCUUACCUGACGCUGAGACGCGAAAGCGUGGGGAGCGAACCGG